UUGACGGGACCGCACAAGCGGUGGAUGAUGUGGUUAAUUCGAUGCAACGCGAAAACCUUACCCACCUUUGACAUGGCAGGAAUCCUGAAGAGAUCUGGGAGUGCUCGAAAGAGAACCUGCACACAGGUGCUGCAUGGCUGUCGUCAGCUCGUGUCGUGAGAUGUUGGGUUAAGUCCCGCAACGAGCGCAACCCUUGCCAUUAGUUGCUACGAAAGGGCACUCUAAUGGGACUGCCGGUGACAAACCGGAGGAAGGUGGGGAUGACGUCAAGUCCUCAUGGCCCUUAUAGGUGGGGCUACACACGUCAUACAAUGGCCGGUACAGAGGGUAGCCAACCCGCGAGGGGGAGCCAAUCCCACAAAGCCGGUCGUAGUCCGGAUCGCAGUCUGCAACUCGACUGCGUGAAGUCGGAAUCGCUAGUAAUCGCGGAUCAGCAUGUCGCGGUGAAUACGUUCCCGGGUCCU
rnacentral:rRNA from 1 species